rnacentral:rRNA from 1 species
AGUGAACGCUGGCGGCAGGCCUAACACAUGCAAGUCGAACGGCAGCACAGAGGAGCUUGCUCCUUGGGUGGCGAGUGGCGGACGGGUGAGGAAUACAUCGGAAUCUGCCUAUUUGUGGGGGAUAACGUAGGGAACUUACGCUAAUACCGCAUACGACCUACGGGUGAAAGCGGAGGACCUUCGGGCUUCGCGCAGAUAGAUGAGCCGAUGUCGGAUUAGCUAGUUGGCGGGGUAAAGGCCCACCAAGGCGACGAUCCGUAGCUGGUCUGAGAGGAAGAUCCGCCAAACGGGAACUGAGACACGGUCCAGACUCCUACGGGAGGCAGCAGUGGGGAAUAUUGGACAAUGGGCGCAAGCCUGAUCCAGCCAUGCCGCGUGGGUGAAGAAGGCCUUCGGGUUGUAAAGCCCUUUUGUUGGGAAAGAAAAGCAGUCGGUUAAUACCCGAUUGUUCUGACGGUACCCAAAGAAUAAGCACCGGCUAACUUCGUGCCAGCAGCCGCCGUAA